rnacentral:rRNA from 1 species
AAGUAAAAGUCGUAACAAGGUUUCGGUAGGUGAACCUGCGGAAGGAUCAUUACAGUAUUCUUUUGCCAGCGCUUAACUGCGCGGCGAAAAACCUUACACACAGUGUCUUUUUGAUACAGAACUCUUGCUUUGGUUUGGCCUAGAGAUAGGUGGGGCCAGAGGUUUAACAAAACACAAUUUAAUUAUUUUUACAGUUAGUCAAAUUUUGAAUUAAUCUUCAAAACUUUCAACAACGGAUCUCUUGGUUCUCGCAUCGAUGAAGAACGCAGCGAAAUGCGAUAAGUAAUAUGAAUUGCAGAUUUUCGUGAAUCAUCGAAUCUUUGAACGCACAUUGCGCCCUCUGGUAUUCCAGAGGGCAUGCCUGUUUGAGCGUCAUUUCUCUCUCAAACCCCCGGGUUUGGUAUUGAGGGAUACUCUUAGUCGGACUAGGGGUUGGCUGGAAAAGUAUUGGCAUGGGUAGUACGGGAUAGGGCGGUGGACCUCUCAAGGUAUUAGGUUUAUCCAACUCGUUGAAUGGUGUGGCGGGAUAUUUCUGGUAUUUGGGCCCGGCCUUACAACAACCAA